rnacentral:rRNA from 1 species
CCUACGGGGGGCUGCAGUGGGGAAUAUUGGACAAUGGGGGGAACCCUGAUCCAGCCAUGCCGCGUGUGUGAAGAAGGCCCUCGGGUUGUAAAGCACUUUCAGUGAGGAAGAACGCCUGGUGGUUAAUACCCAUCAGGAAAGACAUCACUCACAGAAGAAGCACCGGCUAACUCCGUGCCAGCAGCCGCGGUAAUACGGAGGGUGCGAGCGUUAAUCGGAAUUACUGGGCGUAAAGCGCGCGUAGGUGGCUUGAUAAGCCGGUUGUGAAAGCCCCGGGCUCAACCUGGGAACGGCAUCCGGAACUGUCAAGCUAGAGUGCAGGAGAGGAAGGUAGAAUUCCCGGUGUAGCGGUGAAAUGCGUAGAGAUCGGGAGGAAUACCAGUGGCGAAGGCGGCCUUCUGGACUGACACUGACACUGAGGUGCGAAAGCGUGGGUAGCAAACAGGAUUAGAUACCCUAGUAGUC